GAAAACAGGGAGGAGACAGAGAUGACAGGAGAGGGAGAGUUCCCUCUCUUUUGCUAGCGGGAGGAAUCGAAACUUGUGUUUCCUGUGGCCAGAUGAUCCGCGCCCACUCAUUAAAUUCAAGUCCAUUGAUGCCAGGGCUGGGCUGUGUCGGGCGCAAGGCUGAACAAGGCCACAGACUCGGGGUUUUAACUGGCUGUUUCAGUCUGGGGAACGCUGUUAGGCACUGCUCUAGUGGGAUUCUGGAAGAUGCCCCGCCGCUGCUGGCCGGCAUUGGUGUGUGUCCUCGGUUUGAGCCUCUUCUGCGACAGCGAAGAGGAGAGGAGAGGAGAGAGGAGAGGAGAGAGGAGAGGAGAGAGGAGAGGAGAGAGGA
rnacentral:sRNA from 2 species